rnacentral:rRNA from 1 species
GUAAGGAAUAUUGGGCAAUGGACGCAAGUCUGACCCAGCCAUGCCGCGUGAAGGAUGACGGCCCUAUGGGUUGUAAACUUCUUUUGUACGGGAAUAAACCUUCGGUCGUGACCGGAGCUGAAUGUACCGUAAGAAUAAGGAUCGGCUAACUCCGUGCCAGCAGCCGCGGUAAUACGGAGGAUCCAAGCGUUAUCCGGAUUCAUUGGGUUUAAAGGGUGCGUAGGCGGAUUUGUAAGUCAGUGGUGAAAUCCUGCAGCUUAACUGUAGAACUGCCAUUGAUACUGCAAGUCUUGAGUACAUUUGAUGUGGGCGGAAUGUGUCAUGUAGCGGUGAAAUGCUUAGAUAUGACACAGAACACCGAUUGCGAAGGCAGCUCACAAAACUGUAACUGACGCUGAGGCACGACAGCGUGGGGAUCAAACAGGAUUAGAUACCCCUGUAGUCC